rnacentral:miRNA from 1 species
AUGUGCUGAUUCGAGGUGGGA